GACAGUGUCAGGCGGGGAGUUUGACUGGGGCGGUACAUCUGUUAAAUAAUAACGCAGGUGUCCUAAGGUUAGCUCAGUGAGGACAGAAACCUCACGUAGAGUAAAAGGGCAAAAGCUAACUUGAUCUAUGACCUUNAGUACUGGUAUAGACCGCGAAAGCGUGGCCUAUCGAUCCUUUUGUUGUUCUUAAACGGUUGACAGUUUCAAGCAAGAGGUGUCAGAAAAGUUACCACAGGGAUAACUGGUAGCGCUAAGGCUUAAUGUGGUUGUCGCAAGGCAAUCGUCAAACACAACAUUAAGCGGUGCAGCGUUACAAACUUCGGUGUUUAGUAGUGUCGAUGUAGUUUGUGGUUCGCUGCAAACUGCUUUUGGCCUAGCGUACGAGUCCCAUUGACUUGGGCUUAUUCUUUAUUGAGAUGUCUACGGGUUUGGGGCAACUUGGAUCCGUGGAUGAGCCAUAGAGGGUGAAAGUCCCCUAAUGCGCAGGUAUUGGCACUACGAACCGGAGCAGUGGCGUCUGGUAAAACAGGCGUUGCGAUUUGUUAGAGUCGGGUUGCUUGAGAGUGCAACCUAAAGAGCGAGGUAAACUGCUCGUAAGGCUAUGUAAAUACGGCUACGACACCGAUAGCAAACAAGUACCGUGAGGGAAAGUUGCAAAGUACUUUGAAGAGAGAGUUAAACAGGGCGUGAAACCGCUAGCUGGAAAAACCCGUCUUGAAACACGGACCAAGGAGUGUAGGAGGGUUGUGUUGGUAGCGUUGAAGGCUAUGAGGGAGUGAUCCUGGCUGGAGCUGCCAAUAGUACAGAUCUUGGUGGUAGUAGCAAAUACUCAAGUGAGACCCUUGAGGGCCAAUGUGGAGAAGGGUUCCAUGCUAACAGCAAUUGGACAUGGGUCAGUCGGUGAAUUAGGUUAAUAUUCCUAAACCAAGAUGGGGAGAUGGCACGGACCACGGGAAUCCGACUGUCUAAUUAAAACAAAGCAUUGCGAUGGCCUAAGAUUGUGGUGUUGACGCAAUGUGAUUUCUGCCCAGUGCUAUGAAUGUCACAGUGAAGAAAUUCAUCUAAGCGCUAGUAAACGGCGGGAGUAACUAUGACUCUCUUGUGGUAGCCAAAUGCCUCGUCAUCUAAUUAGUGACGCGCAUGAAUGGAUUAACGAGAUUCCCACUGUCCCUAUCUACUACCUAGCGAAACCACAGCCAAGGGAACGGGCUUGGCAAAAUCAGCGGGGAAAGAAGACCCUGUUGAGCUUGACUCUAGUCUGGCUUUACGCGGAGUAUGUAUGUGCGGUGUGCGGCGUGUAAAAAGCGUCGUCGCUUGUGUGUAUAUACGUUGCGAGUGGAGCCACGAAGUCGUUUCGUAGAAUACGAGACGCAAAUUCAGCCAAGAUUAACGCAAGUUAGUUUCGGUGUAUUUUUGCUUGUCUCGCUACUGUAAGCGUACACUGCAACCAAUUAGACGGCUAAUCGUGGACUCAGUUUGCGUGUUAACAGGGAAACUUGUUGCGCGUAAGCGAAGUGACUUGUGCACUUUGCCGGUAGGUAGUCUGGUAUGGUCUCUCGUAGGCUUUAUUGGGCGUUUGACGGCAAAUGCGUGAACUACGAUUAGGUACUGAUUGGCGAAAGGAAAAUCGAAUCGCAAGAUUCGUGCGUCCAUAGAACGCUGCUAACCUGGUAUUCGGGUACAAUUGUGCUGUGCUAGUAUUUUGAAGCUUAGUAUUUUCGAAUUCAGGCACGUACAUUGUCAGCAGGCUUGCUUGUUGAUAUGUGCGGUGUAUCCUGUCUAAUCGGGUGCUAACUUUGCUGGCAGUUUGACGCAAUUGCUACGAUAGCAUCGAAUGCGAGAGUUGGUGUGCAAGUAUUGGCAGUGAGUAGGUCGGCUUUCCCACACGCGUUGAAUCAUCGUUGCUCAUUGCGUAGCGAUAAGUUAUGAUUCAACGCCUAAGAGAAUGGCGAAAGCUAUUUCUGAAUCAAAGACAGUGUAAACCAAACUAANNNNNNNNNNNNNNNNACAUAUGCAUAUGCGAGUAAAGACGGAACGGAAAAAUAAAGCGUAAAUUAGCAUAAUGAACACUGUAUGACUCGAAAGGUGUUGUGUGUGUGGUUAUUCAUUUAGCUGUGCACGCAACAUUGGCGGUAACGCAAACAAGGCUCUGAGGAUCGAGUUGGUCGGGCUGUGUGCGAGAUACAUUCAUGAGUUUGUAUCUGUGCUGGAUCAUUGCUUGAAAGCGUACUCCUAUGGGGGCGUGCUGGAUGGCUGGUGAAUCGGCACGGAUCGCUCAAUUGUUGAUUGCUACAGCUACGCUGGUGAUUGGUUGUGUAUAUGGCGACAUGUGCAUGGCUGGUCAUCAAUAUAAAAAGCGUCAUCGGCCAACAACUAACGAUCGAAUCAGAACUCAANCUCUCGCAGAAAUGUGAAUCAGUUUCAUCUGGUAAAGCGAAUGAUUAGAGGCCUUGGGAGCGAAACGCUCUCAACCUAUUCUCAAACUUUAAAUGGGUGAGAUGUACGACGUGCUUAAGUGACGCCGUAUUCACACAGAAUGUAUUGAGAGCUUAGUGGGCCAUUUUUGGUAAGCAGAACUGGCGAUGCGGGAUGAACCGAAAGUGAAGUUAAGGUUGCCGAUAAUGGUGCUAACAAUAUGUGCACUAGCUACACUCAUGAGAUCCCAUGAAAGGUGUAAGUUGCUAAAGACAGCAAGGACGUGGCCAUGGAAGUCGGAAACAUCUAAGGAGUGUGUAACAACUCACUUGCCGAAGCAACUUGCCCUGAAAAUGGAAGCAGCUCGAGUGUUGAACCUAUACUUCACUCUAGUUAAGUAUCGAGUCGAUCGGUCUUGAUUAGGCCCAGACAUGGUAGUGAAAUAAGCUACCAAAUUUAAAAGCAAUGACGGCACAGUGAAAUCAAAUUAUAUGUGAUCUGAGGUCUAUAACAACGGCCUACAGCGCAACAUAUGCCCACUCGUAUGGUUAUACGCGCAAGUGUUAACCGGGUGGAGCAAAGAGAUACUUGACUGGUAUUCUCCCACUUGGCCGUACCCAUAUCCGCAGCAGGUCUCCAAGGUUAACAGCCUCUGGUCACUUAGGAUAAUGUAGGUAAGGGAAGUCGGCAAAACGGAUCCGUAACUUCGGGAUAAGGAUUGUGAAGAGACAUGAGAGGUGUAGCAUAGGUGGGAGAUGCAUAGUGUUAAAGCUGUGUGUCGCAAGUGAAAUACCACUACUUUCAUUGUUUCUUUACUGA
rnacentral:rRNA from 1 species